UUUUUGACAAUGGGGGCAACCCUGAUCCAGGCAAUGCCGCGUGGGUGAAGAAGGGCCUUCGGUUUGUAAAGCUCUUUUGUCAGGGAAGAAACGGUGGGGGCUAAUAUCCUCUGGAAUGACGGUACCUGAACAAUAGCACCGGCAACUACGUGCCAGCAGCCGCGGAGUACGUAGGGUGCAAGCGUUUCUCGAAUCAUUGGGCGUAAGGCGUGCGCAGGGCGGUUGUGCAAGACAGAUGUGAAUCCCCGGGCUCAACCUGGAAUUGCAUUUGUACUGCCCGGUAGAGUUGUGUAAGGGGGGUGAAUUCCACGUGAGCGGUAAAUGCGAAUUCGUGAAGAAUCCAUGGCAAGGAGCCCCCUGGGAAGCUCUGCGUCAUCCAGACAAAACU
rnacentral:rRNA from 1 species